ensembl:lncRNA novel transcript
GCUUCUGUGUUUGUGUCUUCAAAACAGCUGCUAUCACCAAUAAUUAAACCAUAAAAAACCGAAAUUAUUUUUCCCUCUGGGGUGAUUACAACCACACGGGAGCUGUGAUGAGAGUCACAGGGGUUCCAUCUCCAAAGUGACCUUAAGAUCUGAGGUGACCACUGCAACUCCAAGCCAUCCUGGUUCACCAACUGCUAGAAACACCCAGAUUUUAACUUUCCAACUCACUUCUUCCAAGAAGCUCCCCCUGGUAUAUGGCCACCUCCUCUGAGACCACUUCAUCCCACUGUCCAUUGUCAAGAGCAUGUCUUUCACUCAGAGAAUCAAAACUUUUGUUGAAGACAGACCUUACACCAUCUGGCCUAAUGAUUUGCAACUUGUUUUUCAGAGCCCUUUCUGCAAGUAAAAACAUAUGUGAAACCCCAACAUGAUGGAUAAAAUGAAUAAAAUGUAGAAUGGGAUGGGGCAGAGGAGCCCCAAGUCACUUCAGAACAUAGUUAGAAAAGAUAAUAUCUUGCCCUCAUUUUAUGAAUAAAGACAUUGCUGCCCAAAGAUAGAA